AGUUACCAGCACGUUAUGGUGGCACUCUAAGGAGACUGCCGGUGGACAAACCGGAGGAAGGUGGGGAUGACGUCAAGUCAUCAUGGCCCUUACGGCCUGGGCUACACACGUGCUACAAUGGUCGGUACAAAGGGUUGCCAAGCCGCGAGGUGGAGCUAAUCCCAUAAAACCGAUCGUAGUCCGGAUCGCAGUCUGCAACUCGACUGCGUGAAGUCGGAAUCGCUAGUAAUCGUGAAUCAGAAUGUCACGGUGAAUACGUUCCCGGGCCUU
rnacentral:rRNA from 1 species